rnacentral:rRNA from 1 species
ACACGGGAUUCCUCAGUAACGGCGAGUGAAGCGGUAACAGCUCAAAUUUGAAAGCUGCCAACAGGCCGCGUUGUAAUUUGUAGAAGCUGCUUUGGGUGUCGGCCCGGUCUAAGUUCCUUGGAACAGGACGUCAUAGAGGGUGAGAAUCCCGUAUGUGAUCGGUGCCGUUGCCCGUGUAAAGCGCUUUCGACGAGUCGAGUUGUUUGGGAAUGCAGCUCAAAAUGGGUGGUAAAUUUCAUCUAAAGCUAAAUAUUGGCCAGAGACCGAUAGCGCACAAGUAGAGUGAUCGAAAGAUGAAAAGCACUUUGGAAAGAGAGUUAAACAGUACGUGAAAUUGUUGAAAGGGAAGCGCUUGCAACCAGACUUGCGGGCGGUCGAUCAUCCGAGGUUCUCCCCGGUGCACUCGAUCGUUCUCAGGCCAGCAUCGGUUUCCGGGGUGGGAUAAAGGCGGUGGGAAUGUGGCUCUUCGGAGUGUUAUAGCCCACCGUGCAGUGCCGCCACUGGGGACCGAGGACCGCGCUUCGGCUAGGAUGCUGGCGUAAUGGUUGUAAGCGACCCGUCUUGAAACACGGACCAAGGAGUCUAACAUCUAUGCGAGUGUUUGGGUGUCAAACCCAUACGCGUAAUGAAAGUGAACGGAGGUAAGAGCCCUUUAGGGUGCAUUAUCGACCGAUCCUGAUGUCUUCGGAUGGAUUUGAGUAAGAGCAUAGCUGUUGGGACCCGAAAGAUGGUGAACUAUGCGUGAAUAGGGUGAAGCCAGAGGAAACUCUGGUGGAGGCUCGCAGCGGUUCUGACGUGCAAAUCGAUCGUCAAAUUUGCGUAUAGGGGCGAAAGACUAAUCGAACCAUCUAGUAGCUGGUUCCUGCCGAAGUUUCCCUCAGGGUAGCAGUGUUGUUUUCAGUUUUAUGAGGUAAAGCGAAUGAUUAGAGGCCU